UCGGAUCAGGUAGGGAUACCCGCUGAACUUAAGCAUAUCAAUAAGCGGAGGAAAAGAANCCAACAGGGAUUACCUCAGUAACGGCGAGUGAAGCGGUAACAGCUCAAAUUNGAAAUCUGGCCCUCUCAGGGUCCGAGUUGUAAUUUGUAGAAGAUGCUUCGGGUGUGGCUCCGGUCUAAGUUUCUUGGAACAGGACGUCAUGGAGGGUGAGAAUCCCGUAUGUGACUGGCUGCCUCCGCCCGUGUGAAGCUCUUUCGACGAGUCGAGUUGUUUGGGAAUGCAGCUCAAAAUGGGUGGUAAAUUUCAUCUAAAGCUAAAUAUUGGCCAGAGACCGAUAGCGCACAAGUAGAGUGAUCGAAAGAUGAAAAGCACUUUGGAAAGAGAGUUAAACAGUACGUGAAAUUGUUGAAAGGGAAGCGCUUGCAAUCAGACUUGCGCGCGGCCGAUCAUCCGGGGUUCUCCCCGGUGCACUCGGCCGCGUUCAGGCCAGCAUCGGUUUGGGUGGCUGGAUAAAGGCCUUGGGAAUGUAGCUUCUUUCGGGGGGUGUUAUAGCCCUCGGUGCAAUGCAGCCUACCCGGACCGAGGACCGCGCUUCGGCUAGGAUGCUGGCGUAAUGGUUGUAAGCGACC
rnacentral:rRNA from 1 species